UACGGGAGGCAGCAGUGGGGAAUAUUGCACAAUGGGCGCAAGCCUGAUGCAGCCAUGCCGCGUGUAUGAAAAAGGCCUUCGGGUUGUAAAGUACUUUCAGUCGUGAGGAAGGUGUUAAGGUUAAUAACCUUAGCAAUUGACGUUAGCGACAAAAGAAGCACCGGCUAACUCCGUGCCAGCAGCCGCGGUAAUACGGAGGGUGCGAGCGUUAAUCGGAAUUACUGGGCGUAAAGGGCACGCAGGCGGUUAAUUAAGUUGGAUGUGAAAUCCCCGGGCUUAACCUGGGAAUGGCAUUCAAGACUGGUUAGCUAGAGUCUUGUAGAGGGGGUAGAAUUCCAUGUGUAGCGGUGAAAUGCGUAGAGAUGUGGAGGAAUACCGGUGGCGAAGGCGGCCCCUGGACAAAGACUGACGCUCAUGUGCGAAAGCGUGGGGAGCAAACAGGGAUUAGAUAC
rnacentral:rRNA from 1 species